CACAAAUCGAUAACAAUGGCGGAAAGCACAGAAAAUUCUGGAUCAUGUAUGAAAAUUACAGUAAAAACACCAAAGGUUAAGCACGAUGUAGAAAUAUCUACAGAUGGAUCGGUUAAGGAGCUGAAGGCCAAAGUUGCUGAAUUGUUUGGUGCCCAGUUGGAACAGCUCUGUCUCAUCUUUGCCGGCAAGAUUCUGAAGGACCCCGAUACACUAGCACAGCACGGAAUCAAGGAUGGGCUCACAGUUCACUUGGUUAUUAAGUCAACAAACAAGGGACAUGAAUCGGCAGCUGGGACACCAUCGUCUGAUACAUCUUCAUCUCGGCCUGCCACAGAGCCAGGUGCAGGACAGGCAAACAUUGGGGCCACACCCUUUGGUCUGGGUGCUCUAGGAGGACUGGCUGGAAUGGGAAAUCUGGGAAUGGGGUCUGCCAACUUCAUGGAGAUGCAGCAACGAAUGCAGCAAGAGAUGCUGAACAACCCCGACAUGCUGCGACAGAUGAUGGACAACCCGUUUGUCCAGCAGUUGAUGUCGAACCCUGACGUCAUGAGACAGCUCAUCACUAACAACCCACAGAUGAGGGAGCUCAUGGAGCGGAAUCCUGAAAUAACGCACAUGUUGAACAACCCUGAGUUGAUGAGACAGACUAUGGAGUUGGCUCGUAACCCUUCUAUGUUGCAAGAAUUGAUGAGGACACAGGACCGAGCAAUGAGCAACCUGGAGAGUAUACCUGGAGGUUUCAAUGCUCUCCAGCGGAUGUACCGAGAUAUUCAGGAGCCCAUGAUGAGUGCAGCACAGGAGGGAUUUGGAAACAACCCAUUCUCCGGGCUCGUCAAUAACGGUAAUGCUGAAGCCCAACAGGGUCGCGAGAACACCGACCCCCUCCCCAACCCAUGGGUGCCAUCGUCGACGGGGGGAACAACAACCAGCGGCACCACCCCUUCGACGGGGUCAUCAGCUGCAGGCAGCACAAUACCAGAUGCAAGCCAGUUUAACUCAGCCAGUGGGCCAUUUGGUAUGUUCAACAGCCCGGGCAUGCAGAGUUUGAUGACGCAGAUGAUGAACAACCCACAGUUGAUGAGUAACAUGCUACAGGCGCCGUACAUGCAGUCGAUGCUGCAGUCGUUCAGCGCAAACCCAGAGCUCGCUCAGCAGGCUAUGGGAAGUAACCCAAUAUUUCAAGGCAACCCACAGUUACAAGAACAUUUCAGACAGUACCUACCACAAAUGAUGGCACAGAUGCAGGACCCGCGAAUGCAGUCAAUGAUGACGAACCCCCGUGCCCUGCAGGCUGUGAUGCAGAUUCAGCAGGGACUACAGCAGCUGCAAACCGAGGCACCCGAAGCAUUUCCAGGACUCGCCACUCCAGGAACAGCAGCCACUGCUGCAACGACUUCGACUACUACUACAACUACUUCAUCCAGCUCAGCAGCAUCUCCGACGGCGGCUACAGACACUACCUCGAACAACACCAACCCGACUACUACAACACCCUCCACAGGCACGACUGACACCGCGGUGAACGCCGGCAACCCUGAACAGUUCAGCAAUCUUAUGUCGCAGAUGGUGCAAAUGAUGGUGGGCGGAACAAUAAAUCAAGCUCCAGAGCAGAGAUUUGCCUCACAACUAGAACAGUUAGCAUCAAUGGGUUUUAUCGACAGAGAAGCAAAUAUUACAGGAAUCUCGGUUUUGCCUGUUUCAGCUCUUGACUACAAUGAUUAGGUGUCAUUAAACAAACACUGGCCUCGGUGGCGUCAUGGUUAGGCCAUCGGUCUACAGACUGCUCUGACUGCGACGAUGGGAGACGUUAAUGCGGCCAUCGAUAGGUUGUUACAGCAAAGAUGAUGUCCUUUUCAGAGACUGUUAUUUACAGCGUCGGUGUUCAUGAGGGAAAAAAACAACUGUUAUUUGAAAUCUGCUGGCUCGGCAGAAAUCACUUUGUGGCUGUUACUUUGUUGUGCUUUGUGGUCAUCAUCAGCUUUUUCCUAAAGUAUUUUGGACGAAAAAUCCCAAAUCAUGGAAAUCAGCUACAGAACGCCAUCUAUUAUUUAAUAUUUGUGAUUUUCUUGUGGAACAGGCCGAUUCAGUUUCUUCAACUUCAUCCGUGGAUAGAUAUUAAGCAGAGUAAAUUGAAUUGAAAUAUACUAAAUCAUAUUUAAAGAGCAUGUUAUGUACAUGCAUUGUGUAAGUUCAUCAUCCAUAUAAAAUGUUUUGCAUGCCAAUUUUCAUUGGAUUGUCUACCCUUUUGCCUACUGUGCUUGACAGAAAAAUUGUCCUUAUUAAAUGAACCGACUCUGUUAAUUUAGUUGUUAAUUUAGUUGAUUGUUGUACUAACAUUCACAGAACAUCUUCGUCAGUAUCGCAUUGCGAUUCGCUACACAGGUUUCAGAGAUUGCUGCACAAUUAAAAAAAAAUUAACAGUAGUUGCUAAUCAUUACUAAUUGACUAUAAACAUCGUUAAUGAUUUAAUCAAAAUAAAAAAAAUAAAAGAAGUUCCGUGACAUUUAGUUGGAUAUGAAUUUGUGAAAUUGGUUGUCGAUACAAUAGUACAAGACGUGAUGCUGUUAAAUAGUCUGCAGUGUGAUAUCAAAAGCUGUUUGAUAGUCUACAGUGUGAUGUAUCAAAAGCUGUUUGAUAGUCUACAGUGUGAUAUCCAAAGCUGUUUGAUAGUCUACAGUGUGAUGUAACAAAAGCUGUUUGAUAGUCUGCAGUGUGAUAUCAAAAGCUGUUUGAGUCUACAGUGUGAUGUAUCAAAAGCUGUUUGAUAGUCUACAGUGUGAUGUAUCAAAAGCUGUUGGAUAGUCUACAGUGUGAUGUAUCAAAAGCUGUUGGAUAGUCUACAAUGUUAUGUAUCAAAAGCUGUUGGAUAGUCUACAGUGUGAUGUAUCAAAAGAUGAUGUAUAUGCUGUCCAGCCUUGGGAAAACUCAGAUCACUGCUGUUCUGUAUGUGGUAGCAGUUGGUUUCGUCUUGUCGCAAUAACCAUAAUAUUAUCCUGGAUACUAAGUCACUGUCAUCAAAAAUGUGUGAACUGUGUCAUUAGUUAAAUAUAAUUUUCCUGUCAUACCAAUUUGUGCAGUGAUCAAGCAGUGUUUGACAUUAAAAAGCUGUUGUUUAAAAUGUGCUGAGGUGUCAUUAAACAAAAUUUUCUUUCCUUUCUUUUAUCCAAAUUUUGUUAAACAUGCAUAAUGAUGUGCAUAUAUUAAAAUCAUGUUCAUUUUAUAUUGUCUUUAUUUUCCAAGCGAGAUUUAGUCUCAUGACAGAUUAAACUUAUUUCAAGAAUAAAAUAGUCUUGAUAUGAAAUAUUAGCCAGGUUCAGUUUUUAUUACAGUUAUGGAGUUAUGUAUUAUAUAUAUAUCUUCACCACAAGCAAAAUGAACCUUUUUGUCUCACCUUCAUGGAGUAAAAAGGCCAGAUUUAUAGAUAUUACGUUUUCAAUGGUGGCGGAGGCAUUGGCAUUAACUUUUAUUUUGAGAGUUUUAGCAAUAAAGUUUCGCUUUUAGAUCAGUUUCUCACAAAUUACAAGUCCUAGCUUAGUCAAAUUUGGUUUAUAGUAUCACCUAUGAAUCUUCAUCACAGCAGGGCUCAAAACGGCAUUUGUCAACCAAUGUCCUGUUUGGGCGACUUAAAUAUUAAAAAAUAAUGGCGUUGGUUGCCCAAUAUUAUUUGUGCGAUCUUCUUUAGAGCUAUAACACAUGAGCCACUAUUAAUAUUUGUAUUGCAUAUAUUUACUCCACAUUAAAAUCUUGCUCGUGGUUCAUAGUUUGCUUACCUUAAUUUGCCAACAUCCAUUAUUAUUUUGUGGGCCACCAUAUGUUUUGGCGAGUUUCGAGCCUGGCACAGUGUACCCAAAAUUGUCAUGGCAGGCAAGACAUAAUUUUAAUUCUACAGAAUGCUUGUCUAAGCCAAAUAUGCAUUAAGUAAAAUGUGGCAGACCCACCAGGUGUGAAAUAAUCAUGAUUAUGGAGUCGUCACCCCCCCCCCCCCCCCCCCCCCCAUGUGAUCAAUAAUUCAUGAACAGCUCAUAAUAUUAGAUAUUAUCUGUCAUUGUCACUUGCAAGCUGUUGUUCAGGAAUGUCUAUAUAUAUAUAUAUAUAUAUAUAUAUAUAUAUAUAUAUGUACACGUAUAUGUAUAUCUAUAUGUAUGCUGCAGGUUACAACAAAGGGGAUGAUAUUCCAGAACUGUUCACGUGAAUCAUUUUCACCUAGCUAACCAAUUGUCCGGUUACAUGAAUUACGUUUGCAUAGUGAAUAAAGUUCUGAUGAUCCCUGAAUUUCAUGACUUAUAUUUUUAGAUUGGCUAUUCGUGUUAAUUUAAAGUUGUGUAACCAAUACACACAAGAAUGGUGCUUGGCUAUUCAUGUUAAUUUAAAGUUGUGUAACCAAUACAGACAAGAAUGAUGGUUGGCUAUUCAUGUUAAUUUAAUGUUGUGUAACCAAUACAGACAAGAAUGAUGGUUGGCUAUUCAUGUAUGUGUAACCAAUAGUGGCAAUACAGACAAGAAUGAUGGUUGGCUAUUCAUGUUAAUUUAAAGUUGUGUAACCAAUACAAACAAGAAUGAUUGUUGGCUAUUCAUGUUAAUUUAAAGUUGUGUAACCAAUACAAACAAGAAUGAUAGUUUGUGUGAAUUAUUGUUCCCUGCAGUAUCACAAAUGUUCUGGCCUGUACAUACGUAAUUUAAAAUGUUAUUCUAGCGGAUCAUGCAUAUAUAUAGUGAAUCAUUAUUAAAGCAUAGGGUAAGCAACAACAAAAAAAAACCCAGAAAAAAGAAAAGAAACAACAAGUCCAGUGUACAAAUCAUUAACUGAAUGCUGCUUAAGAUUUUGAAGUUGUAUUUGUUUCAUUAUCUGAUGUUUUCAUGUUAUUGGUAAUAAUUAAAUGCAAAUGAAAUUUA